UGCCUCUGCUGGUGUUUUGUGGAUGAGCCCAGGAUAAGGCAAUGCAAACUGAAUAAGAACACAGUCCAAAUGCACCAGUGCCAGUUGUUUUCCUAAGGGCUGUUGGAGUGUAGGGAAAACACCCCUGAGAGAAGAAAGAGUUCAGCUUGAGGUACUUUGAUGAGGCAAAUGGAGCAAUGGAAUAUCUCAACAGAGACCAGAAAUCUCUGCUAUUGUUACUGUUGGCCCACAGCUAUUGGUCUUGACUCCAGUGUGCCCACAAAGACAAACAUCCACAUGUUCAGAAGCUAACAAAUCAUACCAGAGGAUGAACAACCGUGACUUACAGGUUUUAUGUGAUGAAGAAUGUACUAUGGAAAAAAUCUCCUGAUACUUAGCCUCUACCACUAUUUUGCACUUUUGAAUAAUUAUAUCCAUGGCAGGAUUAAAACAACCAAAACAUGGUCUUACUGAAUCCUCUUCUCUACAAUUCCCUCCUUUGCAAAAAAGCAAAAGGUACAGCUGAGUAGCCAUAAUAUUCUUUCCAGCUGUCUAACAGCCUGGAGUGCUGUUACUAGCUCCAGUUCACAGCUGUUAACAUGUAAGCCUUAGCAACAUAAAGAAUAAAUGACAGCCUCCCUGAAUAUACAACUUCAUAAAUGAGGGGGAACACUUGAAAGCCAACCAUCACUGGACUCUUUCCUUUCAUGAGAUGGAAGUUUCUCAUUUUCUGCUUCCUGUUGCCUCUUAUGAUAGAACUUGGUGCUUAUAUCAUGUUUUUGAUCUUCAAAGUGCUGUAUAAACACUAAGUAAUUAAUCCUUCAAGCAUCCCCUGAAAGAGAUGACAGCGCAGUAUAUCUGUACAUUUUCUGCUAGUGUUCUCGGGAAAAUAUUGGAAAAGGCUUUAAAAGGAGACCUUUGUGCAUUUGUAUGUUUAAACCUUUGUGUUACGUGUGUCUGAACAACAGAGAUUCCUUUAAGGGUACACAGCAAAUCAGUAACAUGUCUCAGUAUUUAUCUGAUUAUUAUUAUUUUCAUUAGAUGGCUGAAAACUAAUAUGUAUUUCCCUUCUGCAACUUGAAUAACUCUCUGACACAAUCUCAGGUUCUUAUGCCUCACUUAUCCCUGAGAUAAAAGUUAGUACAUGAAGGUAAUUUGAUUAAGCCUAUUUUAGGCAGGAUCUUGUAACUCCUACCCUUGUGACUGAUUUCCCCCUCACCCACCCUUAUCUUUCUAGCGUCCUACCCUAGCGCAAACAUCCUUGUUUGUUCUAUUCCUUUUUCUGCCCAAAACAAAAGUCCUGAUGUAAAAUUAGAUUCAAUUCAAAAGAUUUGCAUACAUAAGUUGUAGGACUUAGCUUUUGGGACUCUGGUAUUAAGUUCAUUUCUUCUGACAGUAUAAUGUCUUGAGACAUACCUGUCUGCAGCUUUUAUCUGUCUGUAACCUUAGACAAAUUUGAGCACAUUUUCUCUUAUUUUCUGCUUGCUGUGGAAAGUACAGUAGCCUGUUCAUCCUCAAGAUGUGUCCAGGAGAGAUAGCAACCUUAUAAGGCAGUGAGCAGGCAGCUGGACAACUGUUACUGCCUGCGGUCAUGACACUUGCUAGA